rnacentral:lncRNA from 1 species
UUUUUUGGUAGGCUCCAGUCUUUUUAAUCAAUGGUUGUUCAUUAGUUGUGAUUUUGGUGUUCUCAUGAGAGGAGGUGAGCUCCAGGUCCUUCUACUCCAAGAAAUAAUUUUCUAGGAGUUUCUUCUGUGGUGCAGUGGGUUAAGAUACAGACUGCAGUGGCUCAGGUUGCUGCAGAGGCACAGGUUCAAUCCCUGGCCCAACGCAGUGAAUUAAAGGACCUGAUGUUGCUGCAACUGAAGCUCAGAUUCAAUCCCCGUUCCAGGACUUCCAUAUGCCAUGAGUGUGGCCAUGUUUUUAAAAAAGUGAAAGAAAGAAUUUUCUAAUAAUCACAUCUUUUAAAUUUUCCACUCAGUCUGGGAUGAACUGGAGCUGCUUCAGAGAGAUGUCUCCAAAAUCAUUUCUUCAUUCAAUGUGUAUUUACUGAGCCCUGGCUUCAGGCAGAUGCCUCUCUGUGCCCCGCAGAAAUGGUAGAAAAUGAGAGCUUCCAUUCCAGUGAGAUGAGCAACUAACAAAUCAAUAGACCAAACAUUGUUGCCCUUCUUGGGAAACAGAAUGAACUCUCACCCCAAAAGCUGGUUCUGAUGUUGAAACUGAUCAUGCCACACAUACACCAACAAGGUAUGAAGCAAUGUAUUACUCACAUAAUGAGGCUUUCUGGGGAGGUUAAGGCAAGUGUCCCAAGCUGGUCAACAUGGUUUGAGAACGUCAGAAAAUGAAAUUGGUUUGGGGUUUUCAUAGUGGGCAGGUGGGAGUAUGGGGUGAAGGUCUCUGCACACAGGUAGAGGCUUUUAUAGUUUGAACCUCUCACCAGCACCAGAAGAGAGCACACCUAGGCUUUCUUGCCAGCUUGCCCAGAGUGGAGCAGGAGAGGGAGGAGCAAGGCUUAAAAGUUGUCAGCACACAUGAAGAAAUGAAGUCUGACUCUAUCACACCAGGCAAUUUCAGAGAGUUGUGAGUUCUGUUUUUAAAAUGUCGGUUAAUGCAGUGAAGGCUAUCUGGCAUCUGUAGGAAAAGUGUCAUGAGGGUAAUUCUGUCUCAGCUAGGGAGGUGAGACACAGAUUCUCCGAAGAGAGGACACUUGAGUUGAGUCCUGAGUGAUAAGAUCAAAAGCCAGUCAUUCAGAUGGGAGUGCCAUGCAGAGGUCACGGAGGGGGACGUGGGCUCAGCAGAGUCAAGUGAAGAGAGAGGACAGGGUAAGAGCAGGGUGUGAGAUGCUGGGAAUCAGUGUGGCUGAUGGCAAUGGCCACGAUCGAUGACCACAGUGACUGCCACUAUGUUUAGCAAGAUGUUUCCGGUUGCUGUAGUCAAAGGUCUGAAGUCCUAUCUUAUGGAAGAGAGCAAUCUGUUUGGCUCUGGCAGGAUUGAAGCUACAAAGAAAUGACUUUCUUGCAUUCAAUAGAAGAGAUUCUUUGGGGAUGCUAAGAACAUCUUUAAGAGGUAAUGAUCUCCCUGUUGCUGAUGGUAUGUUCAUACAGCCUGGAUGCCAUCCAGAGGAGAUGCCUUCUGAAGGCUGGCAGAGCUGAACCAAGUGGCCUUUAUGUUGAUGUCAGCGCUCAGAGUCUGGCCUUCAAGGAAAGAGGCCCUGGAAGAGGUGGAUGGGAAACGUCAGAGAAGAAUGUGGAGAAAGUGUGCCCUUCUGUCAUUGUUACCGACAAAUGGCUGAGGCUGGCUCCCUUCUAAGCACAGAUUUCUGAAUAGCUAUGGGGAUUUCUGUUUAAACACUGCCGAUUGAAGCCCAGCUCUAGUUAGUGGCUUAUUUGCAUGUCAAAUUAGGGUUCAAAGAAAUGCAAAUAUGAAAGCUUAUUUGCUCAAAUAAAUUUGCUUUAGUAACCUGGAGGAAAUUGUAGGGUCUAAAAUACUCAAACCGGAAUUAAUGGACAACUUUGGCCUCUUUUUCUUCUUUCCCUUACCUUUUGCCUUUUCUUUUCCCUGCUUCAAUUCACUUAUGCUCUGCAAAGUUAGGAUACCUCCUGUGUGGAAGGCACGGUGAACAGAAGGAUCCAGAAGCAGUUAAGUCAAGAAUUUUCCUCCCUGCUAGGGGAUCUGGGCAUAAAGGAAAGAAUGGUAUAUGAAUGCAAAACUAAGUGCAAGAAUAGAGAUACAAAUACACAACAAAAUAAUUAAGCAAAGAAGCCAACAAGUCAAUGGCACUUACUGUGUAUCUGCCCCUGUGCCAGGGACUUUGGAAGAAAAGGCAAUUUAUUUUGACAACCUGGAGAAAUCAGAGAAAUAAAUAAUCAAACUUGUAUUUGCUUCCUUCCGCCUUUGACUAAGGCUGUGAACUCCUUGAGCAAGAAAUUAUUUCUCAUUCAUCUUGCUAGUGACCAAGAACUGACGCUUAGUAGGGUUCUCAAGAAAUAAUUCUCAGAUAGAUGGAUGAAUAAAUAAGUGAGGAGCAUUUGAGAAGGACUCCAGCUGUGGGGAGCAUUUCAAGAGGGCAGGGUGGCGGGAAAAGCAUUAUGAUAAAAACCACGGAGUGAGUAGAAAAUCAGAUGCAUGGAAAUAGAUGUUGGCGUUUACAGCAGCCCAAGUGGUCCGAUGUGGUGCUUUAUUAACUACAUGAAAGCCGCAGCAGGAGAAAAUGCAGAAAGAAGGCUGGAGACUUCUUGAGGGACUUAGAGAUUAUGGAGAAGAGUUUGAACUCCAUUCUGUGGGAGAUUGGCAGUUGUUAGAAGUUUUUGAGCAAUCAGAUGACAAGAUCAGAGGAGUAUGGCUUUAUUGUUCUCUGCUUGUCAUUGUAUAAGCAGUAGCUGUCAUUAGUGAUUAAAGAGCCAUCUAGUGAGAGAUCAAGUUUUAGAGAAAGUUGAAACAGCAGUUACCUUGCAGGAGAUGUGAAUACACAUUUAUAUAUUUAUGAAUUUGGAUAUUCAAGAAAGUUUCUCUCUCUUUUUUAUUUUUUAUUUUUGGUGGUGCCUGUGGUAUAUAAAAGUUGCCAAGCCAGGGAUCAAACCCACACCAUGAGCCAUAGCUGUAGCAAUGCCAGAUCCUUAACUCAUUGAGACACUAGGGAGCACCCAAGAAAGUUUUAUGUCUCAGAAUAUUGCCAGUAUAGUCUCUUUUUCCUCUCCUUUCCUAUCAUGCUCUCUGUAGUUUUUGCUAUUGUUGUUGUUGUUGUUUUUAAAACUCUUAGGUGUUAGUGUGCGCACCUAAAUUAUCCUCUGGAGGAAGUCUGCCUUCAUGCCAUGUCUCAUGAGAAGUCUGCCUUACUGUUCCCAACAUCCAGUUUCCAGUGUUUUCCUGAAGCCUCCUUUUCCCUUAAAACACAGCGCCGUUCCGUGUGCCCUACCCCAAAGCCCCACACCUGUAUGAACUAUAACAUUUUAAUGCAUUGGAUUCUCACCGUUUUACAUCUUUUGUGGAGCAAGACAGACUCCAUAUCAGUGAAAUAACUUACAGGAUCAACUGCAAUCCCAGCACCUGGCUGCAGGACCUGGCAUGCUGUGUUGAGCAAGUCUUCCAUGGAGAGAUGGAUGAUUAGAUGAAAGGUAGGGACGAGGGAUGGAACAAAAGAGAGGGAGAGCAUAACACUUGCUGGGAGAAAGCCAAGUACAAAACCCCCAUCAUUUCAAUCAGCAUGAGAGCUUAGCAUGUUAGACUCUAAACCCCCAUGAGGACAGAGACUAUAUCCUUCUCACCACCUCCAUGACCCCCGUACUCGGCUCAGGGCCUGGCACCACGAAGGCUUGUUGAAAGCGAGGGCAAAGGAGUGAAUGGAUGGGAACAGGUAAUGCUGUUGAGGUGUUUGAGUCAGACACAGUAACCCACAGGCUGGAUGUUUCCCAGGAACAUCUGGUUGAUUAUCCAGCUCUCCCUACUUUCAAGGGAGAGAACUAUCAACCUUCAGGAUCCAGCUGGUACCAGUACUUUGCUUCAAAUAUUAUGUGUUGCUAUGAGGUUUGAAUACCAACUGUGUCCUUGGUUACAAGAAAAUGAAGGAGCAAGCCAUGCUGGUCAUAAGCUAGCCAAGCUCCCUCUCGCCCUAAAUGAGUCAGAUUAUUCCAGUAUCAUUGCCUUGUAAUUUCUUACUUUUUAAUGUUUCAGGGAUAGUCUAAAUUGCCUCUAAAAAUCAAUGCGUUAAGUGUCUGGAUAUAUUGCUACGGGGCUCGAUUUCUAACACGGAGCUGAUGAAGAGGUCAAGUUUUUGGUUUGGUUUUGGUUGUUUUCUGCUUUAUUAUGUUUUGUGUUUUUCUUUUCCUUCUCACAAAAGUCUCAGCAUGGUUGGGUGAUUUUCUCAGUGUCUGAAGAGAGCUCUACCUUGGUUUAUGUCCUUUCUUGGGAAAAUUUUAUUUAUUUAUUUAUUUAUUUUUAUUUUAUUUUCCACUGUACAGCAAGGGGAUCAAGUUAUCCUUACAUGUAUACAUUACAUUUUUUUUCUUGGGAAAAUUUUAUAGCAUUAUGCUUCAAGGGAACUGAUAGUUAACUAGAUAAUAAUAAUAAAAGCAAGUAAUUAUACAUCACUUAUGAUGUGGUGUACCAGGUGCUGUUUUAAAUACUUUAUACAUAAUAACUCACUGAUCUUUUAUUUUCUUGUCUUUUUUAGGGCUGAACCCAUGGUGUAUGGAGGUUCCCAGGCUAGGGGUUGAAUCGGAGCUGUAGAUGCUGGCCUAUACCACAACCACAGCAAUGCAGGAUCUAAGCCGUGGCUGUGACCUACACCACAGCUCACGGCAACACCAGAUCCUUAACCCACUGAGCAAGGCCAGGAUCAAACAUGUAUCUUCAUGGAUCCUAGUCAGAUUCGUUUCCACUGAGCCAUGAUGGGAACUCCUAAUAACUCGCUGAUCUUUAAAACCACUGUUUGUGAAAAAUACUUUUAUCAUAUUUUCCAAAUGAGGAAACUGAGUCACGAAGAGGUCUGGUUCCUCAUUCAAGGUGACAGACUAAAAGGAUGGGGUAGCAUUUGAGCCCAGAUGAUCUGGCUGUAGCAUACCCUUCUCUGUACUAUUCAGUAUUGCCAGCUCUUAGAGAUGGCUUUUGUCAUCUCAGUAACUUCCCCCCAGAAGCAUUAACUUCAUACUGACUGACUUGGUCUGCUUAUAGCCCAAGUAUUUGAAGUUCGAAGUAGUCCUUUAUUCAGUGCAUAUUUAUUGAACACCAACCAUAAGCCAGACACUGUUUUAGGCUCUAGCUAUACAUCAGCAAACAAAACACAAAUUCACUGAUUCCAUGGAGUUUAUAUCCUAGUUUUAGGGAAAAGACAGUAAGCAAAAACCACAAAAGCAAAUGCAGAUAUGUAUUAGGUCAGAUGGGUAUACACUUGAUGGAGAAAAAUCAAAGGGAGGAAGGAAGGAAUGAAGCAAGGAAGCAGAAGGAAGGAAGGAAGAAAGGAAGGAAGGAAGGAAGGAAGGAAGGAAGGAAGAAAG